rnacentral:rRNA from 1 species
AAGCUCGUAGUUGAAUUUCGGGGUUAGUAGGUUGGUCAUGCCUCUGGUAUGUACUGGUCUCACUGAUUCCUCCUUCCUGAUGAACCGUAAUGCCAUUAAUUUGGUGUUGCGGGGAAUUUGGACUGUUACUUUGAAAAAAUUAGAGUGUUUAAAGCAAGCUAACGCUUGAAUACAUUAGCAUGGAAUAAUGAAAUAGGACGUUCGAUCCUAUUUUGUUGGUUUCUAGGAUUGACGUAAUGAUUAAUAGGGAUAGUUGGGGGCAUUAGUAUUCAAUUGUCAGAGGUGAAAUUCUUGGAUUUAUUGAAGACUAACUACUGCGAAAGCAUUUGCCAAGGAUGUUUUCAUUAAUCAAGAACGAAAGUUAGGGGAUCGAAGACGAUCAGAUACCGUCGUAGUCUUAACCAUAAACUAUGCCGACUAGGGAUCGGAUGAUGUUAAUUUUUUAAUGACUCAUUCGGCGCCUUACGGGAAGCCAAAGUGUUUGGGUUCCGGGGGGAGUAUGGUCGCAAGGCUGAAACUUAAAGGAAUUGACGGAAGGGCACCACCAGGGGUGGAGCCUGCGGCUUAAUUUGACUCAACACGGGGAAACUCACCAGGUCCAGACAUAGUAAGGAUUGACAGAUUGAGUGCUCUUUCUUGAUUCUAUGGGUG